rnacentral:rRNA from 1 species
AUUGAACGCUGGCGGCAGGCCUAACACAUGCAAGUCGAGCGGAUGAAGGGAGCUUGCUCCUGGAUUCAGCGGCGGACGGGUGAGUAAUGCCUAGGAAUCUGCCUGGUAGUGGGGGAUAACGUCCGGAAACGGGCGCUAAUACCGCAUACGUCCUGAGGGAGAAAGUGGGGGAUCUUCGGACCUCACGCUAUCAGAUGAGCCUAGGUCGGAUUAGCUAGUUGGUGGGGUAAAGGCCUACCAAGGCGACGAUCCGUAACUGGUCUGAGAGGAUGAUCAGUCAAAGGGAAAGUGAAACACGGUACGGACUCAAGGGGGAGGCGGGGGGGGGGAAUAUGGAACAAGGGGGAAAACCCUAAUCAACCCAUGCGGGGUGGGAGAAGAAGGUCUUCGGAUUGAAAACCAUUUUAGUUUGGGAGGAAGGGAAGUAAUUUAAUACCUUGUUUUUUGGGGUUAACCAAAAAGAAAGACCCCGGCAAACUCGGUG